rnacentral:lncRNA from 10 species
AAAAAAAAAAAAAAGAAGGCAUUCCUGCCGGUGUGCCCCGUGUCACGUUGCCCAGGCUGGUCUCAAACUCCUGGGCUCAAGUGAUCAUCCCGCUUUGGCCUCCCGUGCUGGGAUUACAAGCGUGAGCCACCGGGCCCGGCUCAGCAGUCAACCCCUUUUCUGACUUCCGUCCCAUACAUCAGUUGUGCCUGUUCUCGAUGUUGGCAUAGAUGGAACCGCGCAGGACGUUCUCUCUUGUGCCUGGCUUCUGUGGCUCGACAUUGCGUCUCUGCUGGUCACCACACCGAUGUGCAGACCAGCGGUUCCCCCUUCUCACUGCUGAACCCGUCCCCUGCCUGAACACCUGCAGCUCUGUUUCCCGGCGAUGGAGGCUCGCUGUCACCAGCUUGCUGCCGGGCCGUUCCCAUGGGAGUCUUUGUGUGCCAUCUGUUUUCAUUUGGGCAUUUGGGUGAAGACUGAGAAGCGGCACUUCUAGGCCACAGGGAAGGUGAGGGUGAUGUGUAUUAGAAACUGCACCCACUUUUCCAGAGGGCUGCCCCCACUGCACCGGGGUUUCCACAGCAGCCUUUCAGCAUCCUGCCCCCUGCUCCCUGCUACCAAGCGGGCUUUCUACCUGCAAAGCAGGCCACGCCCCUCCCUUGCUUACAGCGCUUUGAUGACUGCCCGGCCUUCAGAGGAAAAGUUUAGACUCAGCUGAGCCACAGACCUCCUAUCCCCCAGCCCUGCGGGUCUCCUCAGCUGGACCUCUGACUCGUUCCCACCUUGGACCUCAUGUUCCAGCCGUACUGAAAGCCCACUGUCCUCUGAGGACACGCCAUUUCUGUCCUUCUGCACAAACUGUCUUUUCUGCCUGGAGCACAAGUCCCUCCCUCGCCCUCCUGGGGAGAGCCUCCUUGUCUUCUAAGAUCUCUAAAGCAUCUUCUCACCCUGCUAACUCCUCCGAGUUCCUGACCGGCAUCCUCUGGCCACCUCCACCUGCCUCCUCGAAGCCACCUUGGUUUGGGCUGUCUGAGCACACUGGGUUCGUGUUGUCGCUGAGGAUGCUGUACAGUCAGGGCAGGGAUGGUGACUUUUUCCUCCCCAGCUGUGUCCCCAGAGCCCAGCAGGACAAGGAGGCCUCAGCAAACAUGCAGUCAAUCCGUGGAACUGAGUGUGGGUAGGCACAGGCUGAGCGAUGAGUUCCACGCUGAAGGGGGCAGCAGCGUGAAUCUCUGCAGAUGCCUGUUCCUGUGAACAUCACCCAGGACAAGACGGGGAGUACGCCCAGCCUCCUGGAAGCCUUCCUUGGGGCCCCUCAGUUUUGUUUUUUUUUUUUUUUGAGACGGAGUCUGGCUCUGUGCCCAGGCUGGAGUGCAGUGGCGCGAUCUCGGCUCACUGCAAGCUCCGCCUCCCAGGUUCACACCAUUCUCCUGCCUCCACCUCCCAAGUAGCUGGGACUACAGGC